GGGCAACCGACUCAGCAGUCAGCGCACACCGCCGCCGGCUCUUGUAACCCGCAAUGGCGAGGCCUUCACGCCAAACCCUGGCCCUGCCGUCCGCGACCUCCCUCCGCCGCCUGUACGGCAACUCGAAGCCGCCUCCUCCCCCGGCCUCGGCGUUCCGGAGAGCCGCGUCGGUGCUCCUCCUCGCCGCGGCCGUGGCGCUGCCCUGCGCCGUGCUGUACCGAGCCGUCGUGUCGAAUGCGCCUCCGCCGGUGCAGGUCGUGUGGGAUCGCUGGCCCUCGAGGGAGUGGGGCCCGCCACGAGCUCCGGUUGUGGUCCCCGAGGCCGAGGAGGACCGCGACCUCGACCACAUUUCCGCCGACGAUCUGGACAGUGAAUAUCUCAAACUUGAGCAAGUUCUACAAGCGGCUUCUAUGGACAAUAAGACCAUUAUAUUGACGACGCUUAAUGCUGCAUGGUCUUCUCCAGGCUCAGUUAUAGAUCUUUUCAUUGAUAGCUUCCGGCAUGGUGUUAGAACUAGUUCACUACUGAAACACCUUGUGAUAAUAGCCUUCGACAGGAAAGCAUAUAGACGAUGUACUGAGAUCCAUACCUACUGUUAUGCUCUUGUAACCGGUAAUGUGGACUUUUCUCAAGAGAAGAGGUUUCUGACUGCUGGGUAUCUGGAGAUGAUGUGGAAAAGGCUGGAUUUCUUGCGCCUAGUUCUUGAAAAAGGUUACAGCUUCAUUUUCUCGGAUGCAGAUAUAAUGUGGUUUCGCAAUCCAUUUCCAUAUUUUUAUCCGGAUGGAGAUCUUCAGGUUGCAUGUGAUCACUAUGUAGGCAAUGCAACUGACUUGAGAAACAUAGCUAAUGGGGGGUUCAACUAUGUGAAGUCGAACAAUCAAAGCAUAGAGUUUUACAAGUUUUGGUAUUCUUCACGACUGAGAUACCCUGGUUAUCAUGACCAGGAUGUACUUAAUUUUAUUAAGCAUGAUCCUUACAUUAUGGAUAUUGGAUUAACCAUUAAGUUUUUAAGUACUACAUACUUUGGUGGUAUUUGUGAGCCAAGCAAAGAUUUAAACGAGGUUUGCACAAUGCAUGCUAACUGUUGCAUUGGAUUGCAAAGCAAACUUCAUGAUUUAAGAAUCAUCAUGGAAGAUUGGAGGGAUUAUAUGUCUAUGCCACCAAGCUUAAAAACAUCUGGGGCAUUCUCAUGGAGGGUACCACAAAAUUGCAGUCUUUCAUUGUUAAACCAGUGAGACAUGUUUUUGGAUGCAAAUGGUGUGGUAUAGUCAAACAUGUCAAUUUCUGAGAAUUUUGUUGGCAACUGGAAAGAAAAAUGUACUUGAAAGGAAAAACCAGUGCAUGAGGAACUCCACCUUUUGUUUAAGAAAGACCCGGUUUAGCCAGAUUAUAUCUUGAGGACUCUGCCAGUUGAUGCCUUCAUCAGUGUUAUGCAUCCUCUACUUUGGAAAAAUAACCAACACGAAGGUGCAAGCUGUUUCUGUUCUCCAGUUUCCAUUUGACAGUGGAGCUGCAGCCUUAUGUGCAUAUUUUUUAAUUGCAUCAGUUAUGUAUACGUUCAUCUAUUUGAUAAGCACUGCGAGAGAGACAGUUGUAGAAUCAAACUGAGGGACACUAAUAGAGGCGAUCUGGACACAGGAUUGGCAGAUAAGUGACUAUACUACUUAAAUCACCUUAACUGAUGAUUUCCAGAAGCCUGACACAUAGUUUCCAGUUUCCUUGCCUUUUAGUGGAAGCCCUUUUUCUCCUCUUAUUGAUAGUCUAAAAACUAGCAUGAUGAAACUUGAUAAUUGUCGCAAUGUUCAAGAAUGAACUUUUAGAACGUGGCGGUGAAUCUUAAUUCGUGACUUGUGACAUUAUCAAUAGGGAACAUUCCAAGUUCAAGGGUUGAAGGCAUCAGCACAGCAAAAGAUGAACUGGCUAUGACUUCCCAGUGUAUCAUCCAUGACCAUGCGGAAUGACUGAAUGAGGGGUGGAAUGUUCAAUAGUGUACAGAGGGAGUAUUUCAUAUAUUACCAAAUCCUGUGAAUCAAGAGGUUCAAUACCGAGGAAGGAACUUCAGUUGAUAUCCACUAGAAAAUCGAAAUACCGAGGAAGGAAUUUUUUUUUUGACAGAACCGAGGAAGGAAUUUUAGUUACUAUCCACUAGAAAAUGGAAACCAAUUGCAAACAGAACCAGGACUACCAACAACACUGAAACUGUAAAACCAUGUGUCCUACAGGAGAUAUCAUUUGGAUGUGACACUGAACACUUUUUUUUUGUUGACAUUUGUAAAAUCCAUUUCUGGCACACAGGAGCAUGUGCUCCCUAGAGCCAAAUUGAAUAUCCGGUAAAAAAUUCUAUAUUUUGAAAUAUAAGCUCAGUAAUUUUUAUAAGCUCUGAAUGAUUAUUCUAGGAUCACCUGAAGUGAAGUGCAGGGUCCAAAAUGUAUGUUUUUCUCUACAAUGCUCAAGCGCUCAGCCACAAUCAUGAUCUCGCUAUUAUGUCAAGCAGGACAAUCCCCUACUCUGAUGAAUCUUCCGGAGCACGUCGUUGAUGGAGGUAACCUGCUACUCAUCAGGCGCACACAUCCUCCUUUCGCUUGCUCAGAUGAUGGUGUCCACUUCGAAGACAGUGAGCGAAAUCAACCACAGCACAUCAUUUCAGUUAGACAUACCUUAUCUUAUCACGAAACCGGGGUCUUAUCCGCGAUGCUCUACUCUGACAUGCUCGGAGCUCGUUGGGCUUUCUUUCAGUUGAAAUCACACCUUCUGUCCAAAGUUGCACUCAUGAUCACUUUCUUUCUGA